CUAGUUUACAUACACUUAGAGUCAUUAAAACUAGUUUACAUACACUUAGAGUCAUUAAAACUAGUUUACAUACACUUAGAGUCAUUAAAACUAGUUUACAUACACUUAGAGUCAUUAAAACUAGUUUACAUACACUUAGAGUCAUUAAAACUAGUUUACAUACACUUAGAGUCAUUAAAACUAGUUUACAUACACUUAGAGUCAUUAAAACUAGUUUACAUACACUUAGAUUCAUUAAAACUAGUUUAUAUACACUUAGAGUCAUUAAAACUAGUUUACAUACACUUAGAUUCAUUAAAACAAGUUUACAAACACUUAGAGUCAUUAAAACUAGUUUACAUACACUUAGUCAUUAAAACUAGUUUACAUACACUUAGGUUGGAGUCAUUAAAACUAGUUUACAUACACUUAGAGUCAUUAAAACUAGUUUACAUACACUUAGGUUGGAGUCAUUAAAACUAGUUUACAUACACUUAGGUUGGAGUCAUUAAAACUAGUUUACAUACACUUAGAGCCAUUAAAACUAGUUUACAUACACUUAGGUUGGAGUCAUUAAAACUAGUUUACAUACACUUAGGUUGGAGUCAUUAAAACUAGUUUACAUACACUUAGGUUGGAGUCAUUAAAACUAGUUUACAUACACUUAGGUUGGAGUCAUUAAAACUAGUUUACAUACACUUAGGUUGGAGACAUUAAAACUAGUUUACAUACACUUAGGUUGGAGUCAUUAAAACUAGUUUACAUACACUUAGGUUGGAGUCAUUAAAACUAGUUUACAUACACUUAGGUUGGAGUCAUUAAAACUAGUUUACAUACACUUAGGUUGGAGACAUUAAAACUAGUUUACA